rnacentral:lncRNA from 1 species
GGCUCUGUGGCAGGGAGUGGGAGGGUGAUUAACAGGGGAAGAAUUAGGAAAGAGGACACGCAAGACCACAGUAAGAGAUGGAAAUAAGAGAAUAUUCCUGAUUUCCACUGGAUGACUUUGACUGGUAUGAUUUCAUUCUCUGAAAGUGUUAACCAGGGUGCAGCAUGGCCAGAAACCAUUCCGAGCCUCAUGAAGUGGGCAAGUCAGGUUUGGUCAUUUUUGGUAAUGUCAUUGCAUGUACACAGUUUAAGACAGAGCAUCUGGUGAUUCUCGGACCUUCAAGCAAGUGUCACAUCUCAGGUGAACCUUGGCAGUUUUAAGAUGAACAAAGUAAUCAAAGCAAAAAUGUCAAAUAAUAAUAAUAAUAAUGAUAUCAGAAGAAUGUCCAGUGCCAUGGUUGGAUUCCCAGAAGGCAGCAUCUGCUCAUGCCAUCAACAACAUGGUGCCAUUUCAGUCAUCCUCUUUUUGUCCCAAAGACAGAAAAAAAAUAGAAAAAAGAAAGAGAAAAAGACACCACGAACCGUCUAUCCUCCUGGUAAUACAAAUACACCUGUAAAUAAACAUGUCAAUGUCUACACACAACGCACAUUUAUGCAGAAUCCAUCCUCUCGGUGCUUCCGUAGUUAUCAAGUAAAAGUCCUUCUAAGCCUAAGAAAUGAUAGUAUUAAUUCAGUCUUGGGGUGUGGGGGGAAAGGUGGACUAUCAUCAAAUAAAAAAGGCGAGGCUAAUUAAGUGACAUCCACUGGGGACUGGGAAAAGAAGAGACUUCUUGUGGGAAAGUAAUUAUAUCUUCAUUGACCCUCCUGGGGUACCCCCAGUGGCAGGGACUCUGCCUCGCGGUGUGACAUCUCCUUUCGGGAUGAGCAGCCAGUCACCUCGAGAAGCCCCCUUCUCCAUGGAUGCGUUUUCUAAUCAUUUCACAUGAUUGAGCCUCCAGCAAGUGAUGCUUUACUUAAUUCCUUUCCGCCUGUAGGGUGUGAGGUUUGGAGGGCCUCUCGUCAAAACUUUGGAGGGCUCUGUCAGUUUGAAAAGAACAUGACCUUUAAAUUGUAUCAGUAUGUUUGCUGGUGCAUAAGGGAGAGGAAAAGGUUCGUCCUGAUGGAAAACCACUCAGAAGCCAAGGAGUAAUUCAGAGGGAACCAGCCCAGGAAGAAUCAAGAAAGCUGCCCACAGUGUCAUUCUUCAGCUGAGAAAAGAGAGAGUUGACUAACUCCUCGGACUGGAGUGAGGACUCACAGAGGUGGUGAGAAGCCAUCCUCUCUUGAAUGGGGGCUCCCACUGUACAUCUGGCACCCACUUCACAGAUUCUGGGGGAUGUCAACACCAGCACUGCUGAGCUGUGUGACCUUGAGCAAGACAGUUAGCCUCUCUGAACCUCAGUGUCCUUCUCUGUAGGCUGGAGAUUGAUAUACCUUCAUUAUCGGGGUAUGAGAGUGUUAUAAGGUGGGAUGGUGGAACACGCUGACUGGUCUGGGCUAUUCAAGAUCCAUGAACUGGAAGAUGCUUUCUUAUAACUCAGAGAAAAGAGAUGAAAAUGAAUCAAAGAACAGGAAGGAGACAAGCUCAGGAGAGUCACCCUAAGAAGGAUGUGUGGAAGACUUGACUGGAGGAUCAAAAUGUGUCGGGGGAAGGUGUACAAGGAGGAGUAAGGACACAGAUGUCCUGACUUCACACAGUGGGGGAUUAGAAGCCACCAUCAAACACAGAUGAAACAGGAAUAAAAGUAGUAGUACAUUACUUAAGCUUUAAAAGGGUAAGACUCCUGGGAAUUUGGAAGCUGAGACUUGAGGCAAGUAUUUAGGAUUUGCUGUCUCACCUCCCUGCUAUGACAGUCCUUAAUUAAUGGAGAUGAUGGAGAACAGCUUGCUGGGCUGAGUGGCAGGAGCCAUGCAGCUGCUGGGGCUGGAGUGGGUCAGGAAGCUUCAUCAAUCUGGGACACAUGACGUGCUUGGUGGUGGCGGAGCCUGACGCAUCCCUCUUCAUCGACAUUGUGUCAAUAGGAGCAGAGGCAUUUAGCUGUGUAAACACAGAGCUUCAGUGGCAGCACCCUAAAUGCUUAGCUGAUAGAUCCGGAAUUAAAUACAGACCUAGAAACUGGAGUUGGAAAACUUCCUGGCAGCACUCCUUCCCUGCCAUCCCGGUGAUCCCCUUCUGGAUGGAGGGUGUGGAGCUCAGCACAUUCACGUCUGCAGUUCUCAGAGAACCAAGUGUUAAGGAAUGUCAGGGAAGGAAGAAGGCAGCCAGCCAGGAAGGGGAGGUCCUGGCCUGAGCACGCCAGGCACAGAGGGAUAGAGGGUAGGGAGGAAACUGCACCUGUCUCCAACCCUCGACCCCAGCCCCGAAACACGACAUUGGCUGAAACAGAUUAAAAGCAUAAAAUGGCCCAAAGAAAUGGGAGAAGGUUGGCCUCUGGUCGGGCAAACAUGAGGGCAUGAAGAUAUAUAAUGUCCCACACGGGAGGAAACCCUUGCCGGGCCCCUCAGGAUUUAUAACAAGCUCACCUGAAGGAGAAACUUCAGGGGCACUUACACCAUCAGAUACCUAGAAAGGAGCUGUCAUUUCCUCACUGAAGAGUUUGCAAGCAGAUGGUAAAAGGGGUUUAAUUUGAAAACACUGAAACAUCGUGUUCGCUCAAAACCAUGACAAUUGCAGUUUUAUUGUCUCCACUCAGGAAAAUGUGUGUCUGGAUCAUCUUGUGGCCCGAAUGGGGAGAAAAGAUGCAGUAUUCCAAAGCAGGAGAUUCACUGAAAAAGAUGUUUAAGAAGUUGCUGAUGAAGAAAAGUUCAGGAUUCACAGCUCCAUACAAAGGGAAUAGCCACUUUUCUCAUUUUGAGAUAUGACUACUAACAAGUAUUAUUCUGCAUCUUCAGCCAGGCUGUGGAAGGCCCCAUUCUUUCUGUAACACAGAUGUUCAAUUGGAAUUUUCCAUCUGGUCACAUAAUUCUGCUUUGGGAUUUAACAGGUUAACUUGGCACUGGUCACUGGCCUUGGAGGGCAAAAUAUGAUAGUUCAGCAUAGAUUCUAUUUGUUGAUAACUCAUCAUAGCCACAUUGGCAUCAAUAAGUUUUCUGUAGGGCACACUUUUCCUUUAAUGUGGACACAGUCACAUAAUAAUAUGCUUAUGGUGCAGACGUUGGUUCUAAACUCACUUUGCAUUAUCUGUAUCUGUAUCUGCAUCUAUAUCUGUAUCUGUAUCUAUCUGUAUCUACAUCUGU